rnacentral:rRNA from 1 species
UACGGGGGGGGCAAGCGUUGUUCGGAAUUACUGGGCGUAAAGGGCUCGUAGGCGGCCAACUAAGUCAAACGUGAAAUCCCUCGGCUUAACCGGGGAACUGCGCUUGAUACUGGAUGGCUUGAGAUUGGGAGAGGGAUGCGGAAUUCCAGGUGUAGCGGUGAAAUGCGUAGAUAUCUGGAGGAACACCGGUGGCGAAGGCGGCAUCCUGGACCAAUAUUGACGCUGAGGAGCGAAAGCCAGGGGAGCAAACGGG